CCCGUGCCACUGUAUGUUAGAAGUAUGUGAUCGGCUUUUUUUGUUUUGAUUUUAUAGGGAUUUACGGUUAACAGACUGCUUGAGGCUCCAAAGAGGCUUUGAACUUUGGACUUUUAAACACAUUGGGACUUUUACAGACUACAGGGACUUUUAAAGUUGGACUAAAUGCAGUUUGCACUGUGGUACAGUUACAAGCCCACGGAGACCAGGGAGUGAAAUGAGGUGUGUGGACCAGCGGUGGGAUACAGCUUUAAAAUCCAGACUUCCAAGCUGGGCAUGGUGGCACACAGCUGAUCCCAGCACUCAGGGAGGCUGAGGCAGGUGGAGCUCUGUGAGUUGGAGGGCAGCUGGACUAUAAGAUGGAGUCCAGGACAGCCAAGUCUACGCAGAGAAAACCUGCCUUGAAAGAUAAAUAAACAAAUAAAUAAAAUCCACACUUCCUUC